CAGCCUCUUACCCUUUUGUUCACCUCUGGUGGACUUCAUACUUUACAGCAGACUCUAAACUCUUCAGAGAUGGGGAUUUUUAGUGCCUUGAAGGUCAAGAGCCCUGGAUUUGCAACCAGAUGCAGUCAAGCUCCCAAUCCUGAAUCCACUUCUUGGUGGCUCAACCUAUACAUCCUUUGACGUUGAAAUUUUCAUUUGUAGAGCUCAAGGAUUCAAAACUGAGUUCGUAGUCCCAACUCGGGUGUUCUCUUAUCCCCUUCCAUCCUGUUCGACUCUUGCAGCUUUGGCCCCUGGGGGCUCUUCCCGGUGGUUCCUGUGCUUUACUGUUUUGUUUCCUGAAAAUCCGCUCGCUUGCCUCCUGGAGGAUGUUAUGAUAUAAUAUUAAAACACAAAGAAGACAGAGCAGCGUUUAACAGAAUGGUUUUGGAUACGUGCACCAGCUGAUUCAAUAAAGAACAAUUUCAUUUUAAAAUCUGACAUCUAGUAGAAAGUGAGGUCCUCCGUGAAGUAGUCACUAAUUUAUUUAUUUUGUAAUGCGAUGGCUUAAGACGUGGCGGUCAUUGUUCUGGGAACUGAGGACACGGAGGCCCUUCUCUGUCAGAGACGACGUCCUCCUUGCGGAAGAGACGAACACACGGAGGCAGUUCUCGCUUCGUAUGGUGUCGAUGUGCACAAAUGUCAGCCAGUCCUUCGACACACGCUUCCAGUUUUAUUUACCCCAGGGAAUUUACCACGGACAAUUGCAUGAAGUAUAAACGUUCUCGCCGGGUCUUCUUUAGCCGCAGGUCCCUACGUAACUAACAGAUGCACAUUACGGUAAGUCAGCAUCACGUCUUUCAAAGCCCACAGGGGUUGAUCACUGUGACUCUGUCACUCGGUUUACCACAGCAGCAGAGCAGGUGGUCGUGUUGUCUCCUGGUCUCCCGGCGAUGAACCUGGGUGACAUUGUGCAAAAGUGAGUGAUGGCAAAAAGGGAAUGGGCCCAAGGCAGACAGUGCAGUGGAGAAACGAGAGGGUUGGAGGGGAAGUUCAAACCCAAUGGGAGUGGGGUUCAUGAAGGCACAGAGACCCUCAUGGGAAUGCGGCCCGGGAUACUGUUCCCAAGCAUCCAGAUAUGCAGCCAGAGGAGGAGAGUGAGGAUAAACUUACCACGUCGCUGAGGAAAGUGGGGGAGGAAGGUAGGGUGACAAUGUCCCGGACGAAGUGAUGCCAGCAAAUAUUCACAUUAAUGUUGUAAAGAUUUCACAGCGUCGGAAGUGCCAAGGGUGGAGUGUUGGAAGCUGAUCCCAAGUGAGAAAGGAGGGAAAUAAUCCAGACGCUUGCUCUAUAUGGGAAACUGUGCCGUCAGAGGAAGGCAGGCCCUCUGCAAACUACUCUUGAUAAGUCUUUGCAAACAAAUAAAACUCUUCCCUUUUCAACGUUUCUAAUAUUUCAAAAGCCCGUAUACCAGGUGAAUAAUAGUUUCACUGUUUUUUUAUGUCCCGAUACAUUCCUAACUGACAGUUGGUGGGCUUCUAAUGUGUUGAAAAAAGUUUUUCAAGGGCACAGAAAAUUGUUAUGCUUCCCAGUGAUUAUUGAGAUCGCUUCGCGUGGUUUCUGCUGUGCCGUCAUUGCUUGGGUCCUGCAUCACCGUGCAGAGCGAGCACUGCCUUGUUUAUCAUGUCAGCUGAUCGUAAGUUUUAGGGAAACAGCUCAGUUUGGGUAUGAGCUGUGAAAACACAGAGUGAGAGUGGAAUUGGUAUUUUACAUGGGGUGGCUUUUGGAAGGUGCUUCUCGUAAAGGGACAUAUCAGCAGAGCUUGAAAGGGGGAGAGACUGAGCCGUGCACAGAAGGGAGACAAUUUGACCUCCAUUUCCAUAGGAUCACUGUGGUGGAACCCGGAGAGUCUGUUAGGGACGUGGCAAUGGUCCAGGAAGCGAUGCUGGUGGCCGGGACCAGGGGGCAGCCCAGGAGCGAGCAGUGUGCAGGUGCUGGGUGGAGCUCCCUGGUGGGCGGGAGGAGGCUUGCCCUCGCUCCUGAGAGCUUUCCAGGAAUUUUGCAAGCUACUUGUUCCACUGUUGGCAGCUUGAAAUUGGCCGCAUUGGGAGUGUAGUCACCGCAGAAGUGGACAAGCACUACAAAUCAGGCUUCUUUUUCUUUCUGAGCAUGGAUUGUUGAACAUUUACCAUGUCACCACUGGACAUAGCAUUAUGAAGGCAGAAUUGAACACGGGGUAUAAAGAAGGAAACCAGGGAAGGAUCCAGGUUUCUGGACUGCCAGCACCUAUACACGAUCAGGAAAGAUGAAGCUGAGUGGGGAGCUGGUGUCCUCGUCACAGGGAGAGGAAGGAAACUUCUCUCUACUUUGAGUAGAAGGACAUGUAGGCAAAGGGGAAGGAGAAUCAUUUCUCUUUUCCACCCAGGAUGGGAUUCGUUUGCAUUCAGGAGGCAUUGGAGAACCUCACUGAGGCUGGCGAGUCUGGGGGUUGGCAGGAAUGGCCCAUGAGAGCACGGCCUUGAGUGUGUACUUAAUGGCCACGGUCCCCAGGAAAUGGAUGAGAGAUAGCCUGGUACACGUACACGUGACUUGUUUCUCACAUUCUAGGAAGAUACCCAUCUGUCAGUUUCCAGAGCACGUUCCCAUGGCCCCUGCUCAGGACCAGCUAUGAAGACCAGCUCUGGGGCAUCAAGGACUGGGACAGGAGCAGCAGGAACUGUGGGCAGGUGGGCGCUGACCCUGUGUGACCUGUGGGCUGCCCCUUCCACUGACCUGGCUCCUUCUGGGACUGACCUGGCCCUGUCCUCCUUGUCCAUAACUCACCAGUCAAUCCAUUGCUUCCAGCGGACAUAGAUGGCAGAGACAGAGACGAGCAGCAGCAGCUUGGGGCCCAAGGAGAGAGCCACCAGGAGUGGAGUGGACAGUUCUCGAUCUGGAAAUGAAGGGACAGGAGGCAGCAUCAGAGAGGGAUCCAGGAGUCCACUCCCAGGGGCCUCAACUUACUCCAUCUGAGGAGACCUGGUCCCAUCAAUGCUCUGAAGCUCAUGAAUUUCCCCUGGGAGAAGCUCGAGGCAGAAUUCAGAAUAAGAAGUACCUCAUCUUGCUCACCCUCUCUCAGGCUACCGGGUGUCCUUCCUGAGGGAAGGGGUGGAGACAAAGAGAACUCCACAACACGCAAGUGGGCUUUACUGACUUGUCCCCACACCCAAUGGGGCAUGUCUGAUGCUCUCUUUCUGAGAAGGGAACAGGCUCAUAGUUUACGGAGGGUCAUCGGAUGAGUGGGAAAUCAUUCACUGCUGUCCCGUAGGAUGGAUCUGCGACCUUGUCUUUGGACCAGGACGCGUUCAACCUUUCAGGGUCAUAGAAACGAAUAUCAGCCCAGCCUCGAGUACAGUGAGGACAGUGUCGUGGUGACCGAGGUGCAAGUCUGCCCAGCUUGUUCCACACUCAGGCCUCGAUGUUCUCACGUGCUGAGGGAGCUCUCAGAGUGCCCUGACCUCACGAGACCUGCUGGCUGGACAACACCUGAGGGAGGCAAGGAAACUCUCAGGAGGGCUUUCAAACACCAUCCAGCCCACCUGGACCCCAGUGCCAGCAUCAGUUUGCAAGAAAACACAUCACCCCUGGAGAAGUGGCACUUACGCGUCUGACAGAGCGAGACAAAUAGAUUCAGUCAUAUGCUUGGUUCAAAUGUGGAUAGAAUCUCUGCACAUGGCAGGUAUAGCUACCAAGUCCGAGGAGGGUGAAGCUGGAACAUUGUCCCUGUAAGGGGAACUGACACAGCCCAGAGAAAGCAGGCAAUUACUAUAGAAAGUCCACUGUGGGAGCCUGGAAAUUCCUGGAGAUGGGUCAUCUGCCCAGGGUCUGUCCCAGAGGAGGAUUCAGGUACUUGUUAACAGAUUCCUGCAUAGGUAAAUGCGUGGCUGAAUGAGAGUGUGCUUCGAGUGAAUGCAUGCUUGAUGCAUGGUCGGAUCAAGGAAUGCAUGCAGAAAAGAAUGAAUGGGAUUGACGAAAGCCUCAAAAUCUUGCUCUCUCUUUUUUUUUCCACUUUGGCCAUGUAAGAUGCAAAGAUGAACAUUAAAUACCAUUUAAAAGCCUACAGGUCAGGUGACUCACUCUACGAUUUGGUAAUUCUAACAUUUUAAGAUUCACAGACUCUACAUCUCUUUGACUCCAAGAGACUGAGAUUUUACAUAGGAAGGAACUAGGACUUGGAGAGGUUCAGUAAUCUGCCCAAGGUCACAAGUGGCAAAGCUGGGGUCACACCAGACACAGCGUGUUUUACUGUCGUGCUAGUCGGACACCCCAACUUUCAAGCUCUAUGCGUUUAUGAUUCCUGGCUUCUGAAAUUAUGAUCUAACGACUUCUAGAACUCUUUGCAACUGGGUUUUCAGCUGUGCAGUAGAAUGAGGAAAAACAAUGAGGAAAAACAGCACAAUUGUUAAAUACUAUAAGAUGUUAUAUAUUUCAGUAGAAUUCAUAGGAAGUCACAGUAUGACAUAGGCUAACACUAAGCCAAAGGCAGGGAGACUGGGUUGUGGUCCCUACACUGACACCACAGCCCAAUGCAGGGGAAUGGCAGGGAAGCCACAUGUUUCAGCUUGAGGGAAAGAUGUGAAUGUUCCAUGGCCAGUGGAUGGCAUGGAAUGUGAUUGGACUUGGAGAGAACAUUACUGAGGAAAGCUAGUUUUCCCAGAAGAACAGAUGGACACCCUAAUGACACUGUAUUUGACGAAAUUAAUGCAAAUUGAGCAGCAGGAAACACUGGUUGUCCUCAGAGAAUCAGAGAACAGCAGAGCUGAGGAUAGACCAGGGCAGACCAUGGAAAGAUCAAGUGCCAGGAGAGAGACUCAACCCCUCCGGGACAACUAAUCCAAAUGAGACCUGGGAGCGGGUGACACACAAGAACCUUCCUGCUGGUGUCUCGGCUCCCCAGAAGCCAUAGGAGUAGACCACAGCCACGCGUGGAUUUCCUGUGUGGGGAUCGAUGUCUUGACUGUGUUGUGGUGACCCUUCAGGGAGCUGUCACCAGGCCCCAGUGACAUUCCAGUUAGAAAUGAGUGAGUGGAAUUGUGCAGGCUUGUAGAGGUUCUGCCUGCCUUUGGAUCCCUUUGUUUUGUCUCAGGAGAUACUAAGCUUGGGGGCUACCUUUCUCCAUGUUGAGAUUCCAUCCAAAUCCAGAGGAUUAUAUGGGGCUACAGUGUCUGUGAUUUAUGUUUGGAGUCAGGAAGUAGGCCAAAAAAGAUACAAUGCAUAUUCUUGAGCUCAGGUUUGUCCCUAAACCUCAGG